UACGUAGGUGGCAAGCGUUGUCCGGAAUUAUUGGGCGUAAAGCGCGCGCAGGCGGUCCUUUAAGUCUGAUGUGAAAGCCCACGGCUCAACCGUGGAGGGUCAUUGGAAACUGGGGGACUUGAGUGCAGGAGAGAAGAGUGGAAUUCCACGUGUAGCGGUGAAAUGCGUAAAGAUGUGGAGGAACACCAGUGGCGAAGGCGACUCUUUGGCCUGUAACUGACGCUGAGGCGCGAAAGCGUGGGGAGCAAACAGG
rnacentral:rRNA from 1 species